rnacentral:rRNA from 1 species
AACGCUAGCUACAGGCUUAACACAUGCAAGUCGAGGGGCAUCAGGGUAGCAAUACCGCUGGCGACCGGCGCACGGGUGAGUAACACGUAUCCAACCUACCGUUAACUCGGGGAUAGCCUUUCGAAAGAAAGAUUAAUACCCGAUAGUAUAUUUUCUUCGCAUGUUGAAAAUAUUAAAGAAUUUCGGUUAUCGAUGGGGAUGCGUUCCAUUAGGCAGUUGGCGGGGUAACGGCCCACCAAACCUACGAUGGAUAGGGGUUCUGAGAGGAAGGUCCCCCACAUUGGAACUGAGACACGGUCCAAACUCCUACGGGAGGCAGCAGUGAGGAAUAUUGGUCAAUGGACGAAGGUCUGAACCAGCCAAGUAGCGUGGAGGAUGACUGCCCUAUGGGUUGUAAACUUCUUUUAUAUGGGAAUAAAGUUCUCCACGUGUGGAGUUUUGUAUGUACCAUUAUGAAUAAGCAUCGGCUAACUCCGUGCCAGCAGCCGCGGUAAUACGGAGGAUGCGAGCGUUAUCCGGAUUUAUUGGGUUUAAAGGGAGCGUAGGUGGACUGGUAAGUCAGUUGUGAAAGUUUGCGGCUCAACCGUAAAAUUGCAGUUGAUACUGUCAGUCUUGAGUACAGUAGAGGUGGGCGGAAUUCGUGGUGUAGCGGUGAAAUGCUUAGAUAUCACGAAGAACUCCGAUUG